UGGUGGGUAGUUUGACUGGGGCGGUCUCCUCCUAAAGAGUAACGGAGGAGCACGAAGGUUGGCUAAUCCUGGUCGGACAUCAGGAGGUUAGUGCAAUGGCAUAAGCCAGCUUGACUGCGAGCGUGACGGCGCGAGCAGGUGCGAAAGCAGGUCAUAGUGAUCCGGUGGUUCUGAAUGGAAGGGCCAUCGCUCAACGGAUAAAAGGUACUCCGGGGAUAACAGGCUGAUACCGCCCAAGAGUUCAUAUCGACGGCGGUGUUUGGCACCUCGAUGUCGGCUCAUCACAUCCUGGGGCUGAAGUAGGUCCCAAGGGUAUGGCUGUUCGCCAUUUAAAGUGGUACGCGAGCUGGGUUUAGAACGUCGUGAGACAGUUCGGUCCCUAUCUGCCGUGGGCGCUGGAGAACUGAGGGGGGCUGCUCCUAGUACGAGAGGACCGGAGUGGACGCAUCACUGGUGUUCGGGUUGUCAUGCCAAUGGCACUGCCCGGUAGCUAAAUGCGGAAGAGAUAAGUGCUGAAAGCAUCUAAGCACGAAACUUGCCCCGAGAUGAGUUCUCCCUGACCCUUUAAGGGUCCUGAAGGAACGUUGAAGACGACGACGUUGAUAGGCCGGGUGUGUAAGCGCAGCGAUGCGUUGAGCUAA
rnacentral:rRNA from 1 species